rfam:Aedes aegypti strain Liverpool supercont1.90 genomic scaffold, whole genome shotgun sequence.
UGUUCUGUAGCUUAGUUCGUUAAAGCGCCGGUCUAGCGUACAUGGAGUCGUGAGUUCGAGUCUCACUAGAACGC